UCACCUCGUUGCUAUAUAAAUUUUUCAAGAUAGCUUAUCGCUCACUAAAAUGUGUAAAUUGGGUUGAGGCAGUGGAAGACUAGAAGAUUUUGGGGCAAAUAUUUUGUACUUGAUAGGUUGAUGUUGUAUAAGUUCUUUUUGGGUGUAAUGAAAUAUCAAUGACAAAUCUAGAUUGAUGUAUCUUGUAAAUAUUUGAUAAGUACCUCUUACGUCAGGAUUUUGGAAAUGUUAAGUCUAAACUGUGUACUGAUAUAAACAUGUAGUAUAUGUUGGUUUUGUGAUUGCAUUAAUUGCCGCGCUUAUGGAUUUAUGAUAUAGUUAUG
rnacentral:lncRNA from 1 species